GUGUAAUUCUGUCAUUUGAUAGAGAUAAUCAUCAUUUUCAUUCCUCUUGAUUUAUCAUGCCAUUUCUGUGUUAAUUUUGUUCAAUUAUUGAUUUAAAACUACAGUAAUGACACGUAUCCCAGAAUCCAUUCUGAAGAUGUCUUUGUCAGAUUAUUUUCUCCUUUUUCUUUAUGUUUGUGUACGUUUGAGUGUAUGAUGAUGAUGAAUGCUCGAUACGGUCUUCAGACGUUUAUAAGCAGAAAUACUGAUAGAUAUGAAUCUAAAACCAGCUCCUGAUGAUUUUAGGGUGCAAUGAGAGAAAAGAUCCCUCAGAAGUCAGUCUCUUCCUCUUCCUCUUCCUCCUCCGCUCUGAUUGGUCGGUGUCGUGUGCUGUCGUUCCUGCUGUUUGCUCCACUCUUCUUCUUUUUGUUGAUGGUCAGGCUGUUUCUUUGUCCUACAUGUUCUCUUCCGAGUGUUUGUUUGUGUUCUUCUGCAGAUCAGUGUUGUGUUUUCUCUCCUGUCAUCCAUCUGUGUUUCUGUCGACGCGUCAUCAGUUCAGUUUGACCUUUUAAUGAUGGACCAGAGGAAGUCCAACCAAACCACAGAUAUCUCUCAUAUUUAUUAUUGUGGAUUUACAUGUAUAUUCUUAUCAUAAUGUGUAGUAAAUGCACAGCAGCUGUGUAAUUUGUUCGUUUUGCAUGCUCCAUUAAAGUGAGUUGUAGUAAUGUGUAGUUGAAGUCACAGAAGCUCAGCUGAAAGUGUGUUUGUCCUCAACAUUUCUCUCACUUUUUCACCCGUCGUAGAGAUUGCCUUCUGUGUUGAAGAAGACAUGAAUUUGGCCCUAAUAAAUCAUCCAAUCUUUGCAUCCUAACUUGCUGUCUAUGUAGGGAGCAGCAGGAUCCCGCAGAUACUCUAAACUAAAGAAAGGUCAAGCACUUUCAGGUCGGCUUGUGAGAGGAUCAUGUCUGUGUGAUUUCCUGGAGGUUUUGAUGGUUGUGUUUAGCUGAGAGCUCCAAUCCUGUGACAUUCAGAAAGAUUCUCCAUCGUGUUCCAGACGUCUCUCUGUCAGAUCUCUCAGACUGAAGCCACAGCACUUUCUUCAUCUAAUCCUCAGUCCUCAGUGUACUAUGAGGAGACUUUUUAACUUUAACUUUAUUACAUGCAUCAAAUAUGAUAAUAACUCGAUCCACAAUCUACAUACUUUAUUCUACUUAAUGUUAAUUUCAACAUGAAUAAAUACAUUUUUUUAAAUCACAAACUGUGAACUAACAUAAAUAGAUACAUGUAACAUAACAUAAAUAACAUUGUUACAAAAUGUUAGCAACGAUUAAUAAUAAACGCUGUAAAAAAGUAAAUUGUGUAUUGUUAGUUCAUGAUAAGUAAUGCAUUAAUUAAUAUCAACACCUAUAAAGACACCAGUGUUAAUUAUUAAAAGUCAGAUUUGAUGUGUUUCAUCUUUAUUUUUAAAUCAAUGCAUUUUUACAUCUCUGAAUGUUGUAUUAGCUUUUAAUAAUUUAGUUUAAAGCACAUUUAAAUAGAACACAGUGCUGUACAGAAUCAAAAGACAAAUAAAAGCAGAAUAAUAAUAGGAACCAGCUGGUGUCAAGGUAAAUGAGUGACAGCAGCACACGUCUGCUGUGUGGAGUUUUAAGGGUGUAUUGAGCUCCACCCGUGGUGCUGGUGUCAGUGCUGUGUGCUGGUGGAGUCUGACAGCAGGCGUCUGAGGAUCAGCUCAUUUACACUCGCUGUGUUCUG
rnacentral:lncRNA from 1 species